rnacentral:lncRNA from 1 species
AAAUUUUUCUAACCUAAUUUCAGAUCAAUUUAUACUUUGUGUACAUAUAUAUAUAUAUAUAUGUAUACACCGGUACCAAUAAUAUCUUUACUUAGACAACUAAAAUUUUAUUUGUUACACAAUAAAAAAAUAUUGCUAUGUAGUAAGAUCCUGCGGUAGACGUUUGUUGUUUAGAAGUAUCCGGCGAUGACGUCACUGUUACUACUAUAUAGGGAUGAAAGUUUUUACCCGUAUGGAUGUGGAUAGAUAACAGUAUUACCGGGGGUCAGAAAUACUGGUUUUUAGCACCUUUAAUUAAAAGGUUAAGGCGAGUGUGCAAUGUCCCGGUUUCACAGACCGGUAUUGCCGAAUACUUUGUCUCGCCAUCAUUGAAAACCGAAGAGAUGUGUACAUUUCACCAGCGGCCGUCUAGCCGGCAAACGACAGGACAAAUGAGAUGAUUCGUGAGUUUCAUUAAAUCAAAUCAAUUGACGAGGAGCUAACAAAAU